UACGUAGGUGGCAAGCGUUGUCCGGAUUUACUGGGCGUAAAGGGCGUGCAGGCGGUCUGUUAAGUGCAGGGUGAAAGCUCCCGGCUCAACUGGGAGAGGUCCUUGCAUACUGGCGGACUUGAGGGGGGUAGAGGAAAGUGGAAUUCCCGGUGUAGUGGUGAUAUGCGUAGAUAUCGGGAGGAACACCUGUGGCGAAUGCGGCUUUCUGGGCCCUACCUGACGCUGAGACGCGAAAGCGUGGGGAGCGAACCGG
rnacentral:rRNA from 1 species